rnacentral:rRNA from 1 species
UACGUAGGGACCAAGCGUUGUUCGGAUUUACUGGGCGUAAAGGGCGCGUAGGCGGCAAUUCAAGUCAGCUGUGAAAUCUCCGGGCUUAACUCGGAGCGGUCAGCUGAUACUGUUUUGCUAGAGUGCAGAAGGGGCAAUCGGAAUUCUCGGUGUAGCGGUGAAAUGCGUAGAUAUCGAGAGGAACACCUGAGGUGAAGACGGGUUGCUGGGCUGACACUGACGCUGAUGCGCGAAAGCCAGGGUAGCAAACGGG